CCAUUUUUGAUAUUGCCUACCCUAAAAAGAUUUGCCUCCACAUAGCUAGAUUUAUAGCGAACACAGAUCUCUCCAUAAAGAAAAACGCUCUCACACUUGAACCCAUUAUUUUCUGGUUUUUUCUUCAAAUCAGAUCUAGUUCGGUAAUAGCAACAAAAUUGAAUACCCGAAGCAACAAUCUAUUGAUCCGAUGUAGAAAAGAGAUGAAUCGCGAACAGUUUACCUCCGGGGUGCUGUCCUGGUUGCCGAACGGGAUCAAGUCAAGUUGGUGUUUUCAUAAUUGGAUAUGGCACCUUGGUACUGCAUCAACAGUUUCCAUAUACGUAUUUUCAGCCGUUAGCACAUUUUUCGGUAUUUCUACGGUGUUCUAUACUUGUACUGGUUGUUGGUGCUUGGGGGGUGCUGGGUGAUUUGAGUGGUUUUGCCUUAUCAAUCUGGUAAUCCUUCUUAGUUUAUGAAUUAUGGUUGCACUUUUGAUGGAAUUUUAUCACGCGCUGAUUAAUUCUGUAUUACUUUGGACAAACAUACUUUAUGAUUCUCUUACAAGCAGUUGCAUUCAAGGUAGCCGCCGCCUCUCAUUUAAUUUCAACAAUAACUUAAUGGGUUGUAAGAAGAUUUUCACCGGAUGUAUGACAUUCACUAAUACUCAUUGCGAUUGGAUAUUUGUUUAGUUCUACCUCAACCCUUGGUUGCUUGAUUAGUUAUAACUUCAUCAGUUAUUUUAAAUCUAAUUCAUUUGACUUAUUAUAUUUCUAGAAAAUUAUUAAAUAGUAUGGUUCAACAAAAUUUUGAAUCUGAUCGUAUAUAACCAACAAAUCACGUUAUUC